rnacentral:snRNA from 1 species
CAUACUUGCCUUUCACGCA